UACGUAGGGUGCAAGCGUUAAUCGGAAUCACUGGGCGUAAAGCGCACGCAGGCGGAUCGUUAAGUCAGGGGUGAAAUGCCGAGGCUCAACCUCGGAACUGCCUUUGAUACUGGCGAUCUUAGAGUCCGGGAGAGGUGAGUGGAACUCCGAGUGUAGAGGUGAAAUUCGUAGAUAUUCGGAAGAACACCAGUGGCGAAGGCGGCUCACUGGCCCGGUACUGACGCUCAGGUGCGAAAGCGUGGGGAGCAAACAGG
rnacentral:rRNA from 1 species